AUUGAACGCUGGCGGAAUGCUUUACACAUGCAAGUCGAACGGCAGCACGGACUUCGGUCUGGUGGCGAGUGGCGAACGGGUGAGUAACAUAUCGGAACGUAUCCAAUAAUGGGGGAUAACUAAUCGAAAGGUUGGCUAAUACCGCAUACGCCCUACGGGGGAAAGCAGGGGAUCUUCGGACCUCGCGUUAAUGGAGCGGCUGAUAUCUGAUUAGCUAGUUGGUGAGGUAAAGGCUCACCAAGGCGACGAUCAGUAGCUGGUCUGAGAGGACGACUAGCCACACUGGAACUGAGACACGGUCCAGACUCCUACGGGAGGCAGCAGCGGGGAAUUUUGGACAAUGGGCGCAAGCCUGAUCCAGCCAUUCCGCGUGAGUGAAGAAGGCCUUCGGGUUGUAAAGCUCUUUCGCAAGGGAAGAAAACUUACUUUCUAAUAAAGAGUGAGGUUGACGGUACCUUGAUAAGAAGCACCGGCUAACUACGUGCCAGCCGCCGCGGUAA
rnacentral:rRNA from 1 species